rnacentral:tRNA from 2 species
GGCGAGGUCGCCAAGUGGUAAGGCCGGGCUCUGCAAAAGCCCUAUCGCGGGUUCGAUUCCCGCCCUCGCCUCCA